UAGGGAAUCUUCCACAAUGGACGCAAGUCUGAUGGAGCAACGCCGCGUGAGUGAAGAAGGCUUUCGGGUCGUAAAACUCUGUUAUUGAAGAAGAACGUGUGUGACAGUAACUGGUCAUGCAGUGACGGUAUUCAAUCAGAAAGUCACGGCUAACUACGUGCCAGCAGCCGCGGUAAUACGUAGGUGGCAAGCGUUGUCCGGAUUUAUUGGGCGUAAAGCGAGUGUCAGGCGGUCU
rnacentral:rRNA from 1 species